rnacentral:rRNA from 3 species
AGACCCGAAACCCGGUGAUCUAGCCAUGGGCAGGUUGAAGGUUGGGUAACACUAACUGGAGGACCGAACCGACUAAUGUUGAAAAAUUAGCGGAUGACUUGUGGCUGGGGGUGAAAGGCCAAUCAAACCGGGAGAUAGCUGGUUCUCCCCGAAAGCUAUUUAGGUAGCGCCUCGUGAAUUCAUCUCCGGGGGUAGAGCACUGUUUCGGCAAGGGGGUCAUCCCGACUUACCAACCCGAUGCAAACUGCGAAUACCGGAGAAUGUUAUCACGGGAGACACACGGCGGGUGCUAACGUCCGUCGUGAAGAGGGAAACAACCCAGACCGCCAGCUAAGGUCCCAAAGUCAUGGUUAAGUGGGAAACGAUGUGGGAAGGCCCAGACAGCCAGGAUGUUGGCUUAGAAGCAGCCAUCAUUUAAAGAAAGCGUAAUAGCUCACUGGUCGAGUCGGCCUGCGCGGAAGAUGUAACGGGGCUAAACCAUGCACCGAAGCUGCGGCAGCGACACUGUGUGUUGUUGGGUAGGGGAGCGUUCUGUAAGCCUGUGAAGGUGUGCUGUGAGGCAUGCUGGAGGUAUCAGAAGUGCGAAUGCUGACAUAAGUAACGAUAAAGCGGGUGAAAAGCCCGCUCGCCGGAAGACCAAGGGUUCCUGUCCAACGUUAAUCGGGGCAGGGUGAGUCGACCCCUAAGGCGAGGCCGAAAGGCGUAGUCGAUGGGAAACAGGUUAAUAUUCCUGUACUUGGUGUUACUGCGAAGGGGGGACGGAGAAGGCUAUGUUGGCCGGGCGACGGUUGUCCCGGUUUAAGCGUGUAGGCUGGUUUUCCAGGCAAAUCCGGAAAAUCAAGGCUGAGGCGUGAUGACGAGGCACUACGGUGCUGAAGCAACAAAUGCCCUGCUUCCAGGAAAAGCCUCUAAGCAUCAGGUAACAUCAAAUCGUACCCCAAACCGACACAGGUGGU